rnacentral:lncRNA from 1 species
UAGACACAAAGGAAAAGAAUCGAUAUAUCUUUUUACAAUAUCAUUAGGAAACACGACAUUUAGCGAGCUUGUGCAACUUUAGUGAGAACAUAAAUCACAAAGAAUUAAUAAAUAAAGCAAACAAUCAAUCUCACAAUAACAAGCAUCGUGGAUCAAGAAGCUUCUCAUAGUGAGACUGUAUCAUGUCCAAUAACUCAUGGAUAGCCUAGAUCCUUAAGCUAGGAGAAAAUAAUAUAAGUGGACGAAAAAUGAAAAGAUCUCAACAUGUGGAAGCAUGGCACAUCCUAGAAAAAUGAGAGACGUAAAUCUACAAAAAAGACAUUAACAAAUAGAUAAGAUUGUAAGAAGAACAUCAUAAGUACUCCCUCCGUUUGAAUGUUAUUACAUUCAAUAUGCGAGUAUAUCGGUUGUAAUAACCGAAAUUGCGUAGGAGCUCUCGGCGACCCCCCUCACUGUAAUCUAUCCCAUCCACUAGCAUUGGGAUUCGCACUCACUAUAAUAGCGUCGUCAUAUUCACUGCUUUCCAACUUUAGUAUUCCUGCGCACAGUGUGGGUAUAUCACCCGAACAGUACAACGCGUUUUCUCCCAUAGUCCAGAAAAAUGCAUCUCCUCCUGUCCUUCACCCCCUCUCAUCCGCCAACAUCCAACCACCCAGCUGAACUUAAUGCACACGCUCCUCAUUUCCUCACAACGGCUCAAUCCUCAGUACAACGGUCAUCUUCCUCCUCUCCUCAGUUAUAAACUUCUUGCAGCUUGCACAUUCCGGCAUAUUGCAUAUCCACCAUCUAGCUCUCUCACUUUCCUCCUCUCUUGUAAAUGGUUCUCAUUGGCAUGUCAAGCUCAAGCACUCCCAUGUCAAGCUCCAGCGCCCCCCUUGUUUCUCUUGAGGAGCAGCCACCACUUCCACUCAUGGUUUGCCCUUUCUGCAACAAUGGCAUGGUUCAGUGGUGGGUCUCUCGCACGACAAACAAUCCAGGCAAGCACUUUUACAAGUGCGAGCACGAGUGGGUAUGUCAUUUUAUUUAUCAUUUAUUCAGUACCGUUUUGUUGCGCUCAAUUCCGUUCUGUUCCAUGAACCCAUCUUCCUGUUUUCUUGAUUGUUUGAAGACUCGUAAAUGCAACUUUUGGAAAUGGGAGGAGAACUACAUCAACGUCAUACGUGCCAAGUGGCCCAGGCUGUUCACUGUUGCAUCCCGCGAAGACAGGGAAUUCCACCGCAUCAUCAUCGCCCUCCUCCUAGUCAAUCUGCUUGCUCUUUUCUUCGUAUGCUGCAAGGUGGCUUGAAUGCGCCGUUAUCUCUCCCGACUUGUGUCUGCAAUUCAAGUUGUAGCCGCUUAUGAAUGAAUCAAUAUGUUUUUAUGUAUCGUCCCUAACCACUUGUCAUCCAAUGUAAUCAUGUAUCACAACUUGUACUCCCCUCAGAUUUCGUAACCAGAUGUAUGUUUUAGUUUUUUCAUUAUCUACCUUCUCAGUUAUUAUUUCACUUAACUUAUCCGUCCUAAAUGUUUAUAAUUUACGUCCAAAUGUUGGUCCACGUCACACCGUACCUCUUCGCAAUAAAUCAACUCCUACCCCUACUGUUCAUUUCGUCCCCUAGUCAACGGUUCCCUGCCCAAAAGCCUGCUCCAACAGUCUUAAUUGCCACUGUGUAACCAUCAAUACAGCCGACCCGGUGCCCCCACACGCUUGCGUGCUCCCAUUAUAAACACCACCCCGCUGCACCAGUCCAUUCCAUUGCAAGCACACACAUUUCGGUCCACCCAUAUCAUACGCUACUCGAUGCACUCUAUGAGCUGGUUCUAACCCAACAUCUGAUAUCUUCAUCAUUCAAUCAAGGUAUGUCUCAAGCAAGCGCCUAUGUUUAGUCAUGACAGUGGGCAACCAAAAGCCGGAACGUCUUAACUUUCGCAAUAUGUUCAUUUUCCAGGAUGUCAUAUUCACGUCCUAGUUCGUCACGCUUGCUCGAAGAGGUGCUAGAUGCAGCUGACCAACUAGAUGACAGCUCAGAUUCGCACCCAGGAGGUCUAGCCCCAACAUCACACACUUCGGUAACAAAAGUUGUCUCUCUUGUUUCGUCUUUCGACGAGUACAAAAGAUUUCUUGUUAAUGAAAUUGGUUGGGGAGGGAUACUUAAGCUCCCAUCACUGGCUCGUCUUAACCUACGUUUUAGCAAGUGGUGCAUGAGCCGUCUUGAUGGCCCCUCCAUGUCUGUAAUCCUAAACGAUCAUAAAAGCCUGCGUUUCUGGCCUGGAGAUGUUCAUAAAGUUUUUGGUGUGUCGUGUGGGCCCAAAAGCAUUCUUGGUCCUGAUGGACAAUGCUCCGAAACAACUAUCCAGUUCCUACAUUCUGUUCUAGGAAUGCCAGAGAAAGGAAAUCAGGUUCUUAAAUCUGCUGAAUCCAACCUCACUCGUCCUUUGUCCGAGCAUGGUUCUAGUAAUUUAGAAAAAGAUUGUUUCAAGAUGGAUUUCGUUAUUUUUGUAAUCGGUCACCUUCUGGCUCCAUCUAACAAGCACGACACGUCAAUAAUUGACUACUGGGGAGCCAUAGCCAAUACUGACAGGAUAGCUGACUUUGAUUGGUGCAACUACGUACUGUCCGAUCUGAUUUCCGCAUCACAAAUAGUUCAAGCAGACAUGCGCAAUAACAAGGUCAAGACUCAUCUUCAAGGAUGUCACGUCUUUCUCCAGGUAUCAUCCCUAAAUCUACAUUUACAAUUUUUACUUUCCGUAUCUUAUCAAUUACAUGCACUCCAUUUUGAAGUAUUAUUCACAUUAUGCAGAUUUUUGUCUUGGGCAACCUUAAUCUAGGAAUAAACAACAUCCCUCAUGACACAUAUCCAAGAGUUGCCUCUUUCGAUGAUACCAAAUUACGACGCAUGAUCUUGGCUACCACAAGUACAGACAAGUUGGCAUGGGACUACUCUUGUGCUCCGGUACUAAAAUUAUUGCACUAUAUUUAUAUUUUAUAAUAAUAUCAUCUCAACUAUACAAUUGACUGACAAAUUUAUCCAUGCAUCCACAUGUUUCAUAUUACUACGUACAAAUUCUUAUUCAUUUCAAUUAACUUAAGAAACUGUUUUAUAUUAUGUUUUUGCUUUUCCCAUUUAUAAUACAUAAUUUACAUCCAGUCGCAAUCGUACUCAUGGAUUUGUAUUCAGACUUUCCGAUUUUUUUACGUGAUGUGCAUCACAUUUAUAUAUACAAAAUUUCCCAUAACACCAAAAUGUACUAUUUCCAAUGAAAUAUCACAUAAGACUAUUCAACUAAACUUCCUCAUAAUUACUUAACAUCUUACAAAAAAGUUUAGACAAACAGCAACCCUACACCCUACCUACGUACUAAUAAAAAUAUGAUUAUAUUAUAAAACGCAGUCACACAUAUAUAUAUAUAUACCAAAUUCGGCGAAAUUUUACCUUUACAACGAAUAAUUAGUGAAUGGUUUUAAAAAUGAAACUCAACUUUUCUAUUAUGCAAACAACUGUUUUAUUAUCUAUCCUCACAGUGCACUCUCAAAUCAAGCUAAAAAUAAUGCACACGCUAUUUCCAAACAUUACCAUAACUACAAAUACUAAUUAAUCUACAAUCUCGCGCCAUGCUAAUUACUAAACAUUUUAAACCACUUCGUAACUAAUUACAUGUCCAUACAUUUGUACCAUAAUUAAAAGAGUGCGUUUUUGAACAUUUUAAAUAAUUUUAUAAAACCAACAACUUUCAAAAAGAGAACACCUUCUGAAACAUACACAUUUUCUUAUACAUGAACAUAUUUUUAAAGUGAAAACACUCUUUCAAACAUAAUUUUUCUUCACAAACCAAAACAACAUUUUAAAGUUCGAACACUUUUUGUACAAUGUCAAAAAAUGUUUGCGUGUUGUACAAAAAUGUGUCAUAACCUUAAGACAAUAUACGUGACAUGUGUUUCAAAAAGUGUAUGCAAGCUUAAACAUGGUGAACCAUGAAAAAAACUGUUUGUGUAGUUUUAUAAAAUGUUUAUUGUCAUUAAGAAAAUGUAACACAUGUAUUCCAAAAUAUAUUACCAUCUAUUCAAACAAAUUUCAAAAACAUUUAAUUUAAAAAUCUCCAUAAUGUAUUUGAAAAUAUCAAAAGUUUAUCACAUAUUUAAUUUGUGCGUUACAAAUAUAUAUUUGGUUUUGAAAAUAUAAUACAUGUGUGAAAAAGGAAAAAGUGUAAAUGAAAUAAACUAUGAAAAACAAAUUAGUGCGCGUGCUGAUUUCAGGGAUUGAGAGUUCAGAGUUUCGUUACUGUGCUACUGGGCCGGCCCAAUCCAGCAAAUACUAGGAAGUCCCCUCAAUGUUUAAAAUACCCCUGGAUUAGAGUUUUUAGUGUGCUGAUUUCAGGGAUUGAGAGUUCAGGCUUUGGUUCAUAAAUUUAUAAAUGAUUUUUUCGUCCUCCUUUUUUUUACAAUUUGGGUGGUGGAGCACCCUAGUGCUCCAAAUCCGCUUCCCCUGUAUACGAUGGCAUUUUACAUUUCCCAUGCAUUUAAACAUUUGUUUAUGUACAUGUCUGCAGAUACGAUCAUCACAUGAUAAUUGUUACACAAGGAGUACAUUUGACGUUGCCGCUGAAAAUCAUCCCCGGACAAUGCCUCAACGUAAUCAAUCAUCAUGUUUACGUCCUAUCAUACCUCCCUCUCCUUCAGUAUCUCUGAAGACACCGCAAUCUCCGUCGACCCCCACCGUGGGACAUAUCACCGUCCACGAUUUUGCUAACUACAUGAAGUCAAACUAUCCUCAUUUGGUUAGUGCUACAUCUUUAACAAUAGCGUUCAUGUUUUUAAUAAAUGCAAUACUAAAAUUUAAUAACUAAUUUCAUACUCCAGGUGUCAUCAGAUAUUGGUAUACUUCUAAGACACAACAAUGCCAUUGUAACACGAGAAGCAACAUCACUGCGCAGUUCAAUUUUACAGGAGAACACGACAUUUCUUGACAAACUAAUGACAAUUCUUUCUUCUAGUUGUAUAUGCUGCAGUAUCAGGUCUCUGCCGUGUAUAAUGCAGAAUUCACCUCCUAUUAGCACAACACCUACAUUUUUACCUAUAAGUGGUCGUAAAUUGGACAUGUCCGAUUCAGAAGGUUAUUACUACAUUCUUUUCGUACAUGAUUCAGAAUUCCACGAUUUGGCCAAACCGUGCAUCCCUAACAUAUCAUUUCUAAACUGAUUAGGUGAAACCUCCUCCUCCACAAGCAAGGUUCCUUUGUUCAACCGAACUACAAAACAUUGCGUACCACCCACGCAAACCAAGAAACGACCUAGAAUGAACUCCCUUCAAGGUUUGAUGUUCUAUCAUUGCUUAACUUAAGAUAAUAUAUUGCAUUUUAUUUUUUAACCAAUUAAAGUUUAAAUUUCGCAUGCACAUGAAUCAUCCUUCAAUCAACAGCUACUUCCGCCGCACAUACGUCAUUUGUUACACCUACAAACAAGCCGUCCACACUACAGCUAGCAAAGACAUGGGCCGACACAAUUGCUUGUGGUGUUUUGAUGCUAAAUGAUGACCACAUCAUACCUGAUGGAGUUGUAACGUUUGCCCAAAUAUCUCAUCAGUUGCCUACAAAAUCAGUAGCACGUCAUAUAAAGUAUGCUACUGACCACUGGACAUCACAUGCUAAUCAGCCAAAACUUAGUAUUGACCGCCUUGCAUCUCUUGAAGACUUCAUGAACAGACUAUCUGAAGAUGUUGCUACGAGGUAUGCGACUCUUUACAUACAUUUAAAACUUUAUUCACGUCUUACUAUACAACUUUAACUAACACAAGUACAAUUCUAGGGCUUGGGUCAGACAUGAUUAUCCAAGAUUCAUUUCAAUCAGUGGAUCUUCCAUUAGAGAUCAGUUAGUUGGUGAUACACCACUAGACCAUGAAGUAUGCUCUUUAAUCGUCAGGACUCUUGUUAUAAAUGAUAGCAUUUUCCUAUACCCUUCAGAUGAUUUCUAGCGUGUAUUCUUCGAACCUGAUUUAUCGGUGAGUUCAUAUAACCAUUCCAUUUACCUAAAUAUUUAUGGUAUUUUAUUGCUUACCUUUUAUGCAGACAUGUAUUCUAUCUGGUGAGAAUCCAUGGGAAGUACGCUCCAUCCAGAACCAAUUCCUAUCUCAACGUGGGUCCAGUCAUCUACCGAAUUGUAAACUGGUAAUCUUAUAUUUUCAUUACAAUUUGUGCUUUUUUAGUAAGAUACCAAAUAACAGUUCCUAUCCGUUCUUCACAGUUCAUCAUGACCGCAAUGCUACAGACUGGAUGGUGUGCUUACGCAUGGGACAUGCAACGGAAACUUAUUCACAUCCUAAAUCCUUGUGCCGACUCAUCCCAAUAUAGUUCUUUAAAGAUCACCCAUGAUUGCAUCGCCGAAAAACUGCAUGUUGGCCUUUACUCAUGUUUAUUCAAAUUCUUCAAUACAUGGUACAUCGACUGCUUGAAUUGGAAGAAAGUAUAUGAUAUACUUGCUUCAGAUGUUUUCACCAGGUGUGUACUUAUAAACCACGCCAUCUGUUCCCGUACAUCAUCCUACAUGUCGGUGAACUACAUUGAUUUUUUUGAAUUGUUCCUUUUUUUAACACAUGGAUGAAUCUGGCAUGGCUAUGAUUCAAAUGGCCUGCUCAUUCAACGGUGUUGGUGUUUCUGAAAUGCUAAACAAGGUAAUACAAUAUAUACAUUUCAUGUUCUAAAUACAAAAUUAAAAUUUUCUUUAUUAUACCUUGUUCUACGGCAUUUUACAAAUAUAUUUGCCGCCCCUAUAAUAUUCACCUUUUUCCCCACCCUUUUAACUAUUUUUCACAACCACGUAUACUUGCGAUGUUAUAAAUAAACAAGUUCUUUUUUCUUUAGUUUCCCUUGUGUCUGAAAUGUGAUGUUUUUAAUUAACAUGUUACAUUUUUUAUGCCGUUAGCAAUACCCAACACUAACUAUGUUCCACAUAAAUAUCAGGUGAAUGUCAGGAUGCAGAAAAUCAAUUUCGUUGGAGACAUUGCCAAACUACCUGACAAUACCGGAGAUCCGCCUGUCGAGAUUCAAGCGAUCGUCGGCUAGACUAAUUUAAAUUUCUAUUCCCCCGUGUGUUAUGUUCAUUUUCUUGUUUGUACAACUUCAAUUCAAUAAGCUACGACUUUUGAAUGUAAUAUUUUCAAAUUUUCAAAACUAACAUUCUAUUUCACAUAUCCUUUCGGAAAUCGUCAUCCCUAACGCCCCUCUUAAUGUUUAAAGAUGUUUCACUCUAUUACUUCAUAUAGAAUUAUCUCCUAUGUCCAAUAUCCUUUAGCAAAAUGUACUCUUUCCAAAAUAUUCUUCCUGCGGUCCUAUAACUGAUUUUGCCAUUUUCAAUUUUCAUUACAUUUCCUUCCAAUUUCACCUCCGAAUCAAGGCAAUUGGAUUGACCUGUCCUCAUGAUUUUAUCCACUAAGUUCCCUUCGUCAUUACGUAGCUAUAGAUCCUAUGUUUUUUUUGUCUUUUUUUAAUUAUCAUCUAUAAAUUACACACAUGAUCGGAAAUUCCUUACAUUUUUACUUCAAUAUAAGCUUAAUGUCAGGAUUGAAUAAAUCAAUUGCGUUCGACACCUUGCCAAACUUCAUGACAAAACCGGACAACCCCCAUGUCGAUCUACAAGCCAUUCUCCGAUAGACAAACUAUAAUUUCUUCUGUUCUAUUUGUUCUGUUCAGCUAUUACUUUAUCAUUUCGUUUCUAUUUCGCAUAUCCUUACGAUUUCGGCAUUCAACACAUUAAGACUACAUAUAUCAUUUCAAUAAAUUACGCAUUCAACAAAUUCACAAUGUAGUAUUCAGAUUUUUUAUUUUAUGCUGUCAUAUUGUUUUCUCACCUAUAUGCAAUAUCUUAUCCACAAACUCCACUUAUUCCAAUAUAAUCUACUUGCGGCCCUACAAACUAGUUUCCCAUUUUGAAAUGAUAAUAUAGUUAUCUCCGUCCUUAUGAUGCUAUUCUCACGCAUUGUUAAAUUUUAUCUUCGUCCUUAUGAUGCUAUUCAUCGUUAAUUUUUAUCUUCACGAACAACAUAUAUCAUUUGCACCGUUUUCAGAAUUAUCAUAUUAGAAUUAUUUACAUGCAAGAAAAUUUCAGUCAACCACAAUUUAGUCAUAACCUAAUUUAACUUUCAUUACUAAUUCCUAAUUAUUCAUAACCUAUGUGCUUUCCACUUCUCACAUAUUUGCAACACUUCCCGUGUUGUCUUGUUAAUAAUCAUUAAACGUACUUCCAUUCCGUAACCACUUAAUCGCACAAUUUUAAAUCGACCAGCUAAAUAGUUUAAUUCAUUUAAUACAUAUAAUACCGAUUUCGGAUGUUUCCAACUUACUCAAUUUAUUGCACGUACAAUCUUAUAAAUAUAGGUAUGUGGCACAACAAUUUACGACAUUAUUUUCAUACCGCCCUACCAAUUUACACUUAUGGAUACAACAACGAUUAUUACGAUAAAUUUCAUCCACAUUAUAGAAUAUUGAUUUCACAUUUUAUCCUUAUUCAAAUAUGCUAACUAAUAUGUACUAACAUAUUAUUUUAAUGUCUAAAAUGUUAUACAAAUUAAACAGCAGUACCCACACCCGAAUACUAAAUUCUAUUUUCUUGUUGUCCAUUCAUUCAUGAAGACAAUCCUUCCAAUUCUUAAUAACCCUAAAGAACGCUAACAUCCAUAUUUUUAUACACAAAUGCCUAUCACAAUAAUUCUAAUAACUAAUUUCUUUGGUAAUCGACGUCGUAGUCGCGGCGUAUCUACUGUGCUUUUUUGCCGUCAGAAAACCUAAUACAAACGAUUUCAUGUCCAACAGAACGCGAUUCUUAAACGGUUUCCUUCAACAAUUACUAAAAAGGAUACAACACUAUGAUUUCCUUUUCCUUUCAAUUCAUAAUAACCCGAUACAAGGCGAACAAAUAAAACACAACAACCUAAUUUGAAUACACAAUUGCCAGUAACAAUAAUUAUAAUACCUUAUUUCUUUGCUAAUCGAUGUCGUUGUUUCGUCGUAUCUACCGUGCUUUUUUGCCUUUAGAAAACUGACUACAAACGAUUCGAGGUUUCCUUGCACAAUUACUAAAAAUGAUACAACACUAUGAUUUUAUUUUCCUUUAUAAAACUACAUGCAUGUAAAAAACCAUUCUUUUAUUUCGGAAAAAUAUAUACAUGGAAUAGUUAACCAAGCACAUAACUCUGUAUAAUUACAAGUUCCAUCAUAGGCUUUAAAACAUUGUUAAACAAUUUAUACAGAUGUUCAUUCUUUAUUUUCCAUUCUUAUUAUGUAAUUGUAUACAACAUAUUAUACAUUAUUUUUUCAAUCAUAACAAUAUAAUAUACAAAGGAAAAAUCUAUAAUUAUCUAUUCAAUCCUGCACUGUUGAUUUAUUUAACUAGUUUUCUACUAAAGUUUUCCCUGUAUAUUCAUAACAAAUAUUUCCAACCUAACAAUUCCUAUUUCCCUAAAAAAAUUGAAACACAAAUAUUCUAUAUGUAGCAAAGCUAUAUGUAGCAAAACAAAUAAGCAUUCUACCCACUGAUGAUUCCUUCAACAUCAUAUCCAUAGUACUUGACAACCUGAAUAGAACCGAAUACAUAGCAAGUACUUAAUAACUGUCAUCCACUUAAAAACAUACAGACCGUUCGACAUUGUCUUAUAAAAUACGUACUACGCAGGGAUUAACAAUACCAUUGGAAUGUACCGUUCUACCCAAUAAAGUUGUUGACACAUAAACAUUUUUUUCAUGGCAUGAUUGUACUUGGGAGCCAUGAUCUGUUGCCCUCCAUUCUCCCUAACCAUUGCAGCACAUGAAGCUUGAACAACGCCACACAGUUCUGCAGUGCAAACAAUAAGCAUCAACAAUUGAUUCCAAACACAACAAAACAUUACCAAACUCCCAAAUAAUAUUAUAAGUGAUUUGUUCACUCACGGAUUGGAAAAUUCCGUUUUUUUGUUCACAAUUAAAGCUCAACAUGAUUUGCAGAACAACGAAUGCACUAUCACCCCUGCCACCACAUUCGCAGUUUUGGUAAUGCACUUCACCAUGUAAGGACAAACAAUAAUGACAAACAUAAUAUUUCUCCUGCUUACCUCUUCACACGGUCUUCAGUCGACCCACCAUGACAUUUAAUUGUCCAUUUUGAUACAUCCAGAUGAAAUCCAGGGUAUACAGGAUUUAUCAAUGAGGACAUUCCCUUCAACAAUACCAUAUAAUCUUGGAAAUGCCUUUUCUCCAAAGUUGUCUCUAAUUGCCAUGCGUGUGAAGGAUCAAACACAUGGCACACCCUGCUGGCCAUAUUUAGUACAUACAGAAUGUAGUACCCUUCUACAGUGAAGUGCGGAGCCAUAACCUGCGGUUUUCAGAUCUUAAUAUGUGAAGUAAUAAGGAAAUAACAAAUUCCAUGGGAUUUUUUUCUAACACUCUUACCAUCCUGCAAGUCCUCAAAUCAAACUUUCCGUUCAUACCGACCAAGCUAGCCGUUAUAUCAACAUCAUUCUUGAAAGGUUCACCAGCCAGCACUUUCCCCUGCGAAAUUUUAGGUGCCACAUGAUGACAUAACUCCAUAAGGCGUACUGCAAUUUCAGAAUUAUGUUCUAGAUUGUUUUUUCUCACCGCAAAGCUGAGAUGAAGAACUCUCCCAGCCUUAACAACGAACCAGGAGCAUAAAGCUUUUUAUCCUCAGAAUAUACCAGCCUUCUAAAAAUCUCAAAUUGUCUAGUAUUAACUUCUGCUCCUGGUUUCAUCAUUGCUUUAAUUUCAGCUCCAGAAAUCUUUAGUUCGUUUGGGAAUGGGUGAUCAAUCCAACACCUGUCAUAAGAACGUUUGGCACUGUCAAAUUAUUUUCACUUGUUUACGUAUUGAGAAUUUUAUGGAAGUUGACUUACUAACCUCUUUAGUUCCAUUCCUUUUGAUUUCCGCAGCGCAUCGUUACAUGACUUCAGUACAUCAUUAGUUCUGACUAUAUAAGCUACAGAUCCUGCUACAACAGACUUUCCAGCAACCUUUUGACACUUACAUACUGCAAAAACAUUCACACAGGAUUACAACAAAACAUACAUGUAAUUUUGUUCGCCAUAGAGGAAAUAUGAUCCAUCUAACCUUCAAUUAGUCGAUUUAUUUGAGAUAUCGACUUCUGCUUGACACUAUGUGGAUCAUCAUCUAACAUGAUUCCACCUGAAGGAUGUAGCUGCUCACCAGCUGUAACGCUUGCCGCAGGUAAUCCAACAUCUGAUUUCAUAAAUAUUUGUAAAAAAGGCACAACUACAAUUAGGUUAAAAAUUAUAUCAAACAUAACAGUUAUAUCCUAUUUACUUAUUUAUUUGUUAACCCACCCAAACUCUUAACCUUGACGGCCUCAAGCGCAAGUACAUUGUAUGUUUCGUCGAUCUUAACAGUUUCACUCACAACGGUACAUCCUUCAUUGGUUCUUUCACCAACCAAAAAAAAUUCUCUUCUUUUCACCGGCCUCCUGGCAUAGAAUUUCAACACUAGAGCAUUGUUUGAAAUGUGUUAGCAUUCUUUUCAACAAGCAUCGCAUACAUUUUCAAUGCGACAUUGUAUGAAAAUAAACAUGAUAUAUUUCUCUAAAUUGUUAAAUAAAUUAAUCCUUUUAACUAGAAACUAAAUACAUUUCAUAUUCAUGCAUUUUCAAGCUAUUAUUUUUAUUUUCAUACAAAAUAUUCGUCCUAGUUAAAAGGAUUAACCUGGUUGCGCCGUCUCAUAGCGACCAGCAUGUGUACCUCCAAUAAUAUUCGUCCUAGUGCUAACAACUGCAAUUAUUAUUGUGCAAUACAAAUUAAUUAAGCCCAACAAGUGCAUAUCAAGGUUUGUUCCACAUCAUUACAGGAAAAUGCACUCUUACCAUGCAUCCCUGAAUUUUCGAUAACUGAACUUUCAUCAUGUGGCAAGACUGAAUGUUCUGUUGAAUGUACUGCUACUGUAAUCUCCCCUGUACCUUGCCUCCUGGCACUAGCGCCGCUCCAGUCGGGCCCAAGCAAGCCUGCAAGUCAGUACACACAUCUAUAAAUGGGCAUCCUGAAGAAAGUGUACACCAUGUGCUUAGCUCAAAAAGCACACCUGUUUUCAUUCCAGCCAGUACCUCUGCUACCGUUUUCACAUCAUGGUCCUCAUGAACACAUACGGAUCCUGUGAAGUACAAGAUGAGUAAAAUCAGCUAUCAUCCUACCUACUCCAGCUCAUAUAGGUUACCAUAUAAAGAAAGUUCAGCUAUGCCAAAUUUGUCAAUGCUCGAAUGUGCCUCACCUAUAACGCUUGCCCCACCUUGAUUAUAUUCAUUAACCACCUUUGGGUUUUCGCUAUCAAGAACCACACCUACACAGAGAUUCAACAAGUCAUAAAUUGUAUCCGAAAUGCGUACAAAUCAUCCUAAACUAUAUAUUUUACCUUCUAGUAAUUGAGUUUUCAACUUUGGCAUCCCUGCACAUUUCCCUACAUUAUGCAGCAUGCACAGUCAUUUGCUUGGGGUAAAUAAAAAUAAACAAAAAAUUAAUUUACAGCCAACAUUCUCAUUACCCUGUAAGGCUUUUCCUAUUACGCCAUCCAUAGUUUUCCAAUCUUUUAGCCUAUAGAUACAUUGUGCCAUUUCAUGCUGUUCUAUCAGACUCCUUAUUUUAUCCACAUCAUUUGAAUCAACCUUGGAAAUAACCUGAGUGAACUCAUCACUAGUUGAGUCUGCCUUCUCCUUAGAAGUCCUAAACAGAUCUUUAAUAUACAGAAGAGCCUGGCCACACAAAUAUCUUACAAUCAAAUUAACAGUUUGAGAUAACAUAUAUAAUCAACACAAUUCGCAAUCUUUUUAAAACUCCACACCUCAGAGUGAAUACAACCGCCCCCCGAUGGUAUGGCUGAUUGAGAUACUUUGACCUGCAUCCAUAGUAAUUAAAUAUAUAUGGUGUUGUACUAAAUAGAAUUUGGAAAAUUAUUGCAUAGAAACAAUAAUUAUCUGCUUACCUUCAAUACUCCAAACUUCAUAUCCCCAGCUUCGACUAAGGUAUCUGCCUCUAUGAAAGCUCGCACAACUGAUGAGGAGUAUAGAUUAACAUGAGCUAAUUGGGACGUGUCUAGGGUCAAAAACCCUGUAUCCACAGAGCUGAAGUAGUGUAUCUGUAACAGCAACUUAUUAGUGAACCGCAAUCAUAUUGCCAUUAAGCAUAAAUCGGUUCAAGAUGAAACAAAAUAAUGUACUAAAGACAUUACAUCAGUGCCAUUGAUCAUCGUACCUGCAGGAUGGUUGGACAACCAUAGAGACAAAUAGAUUUGUAUCCGUUCAUUUUCGCCUCUGCCAGGCUCAUGGCACCUCUUAUUAUCUCCUCCAAAGCAUAUCUACCGUAGUUCCAAUGAUAAAUCUUCGAUAGAUCGUCAACUAGCUGGUAAGCAUCGGUUGGGACGUGGUUUCGACCAUCCCCUGGUCCAAACACUGCAGCAACAGCAAGCAUAGCACUCCCCAACUCUGUUUUCAGCCUCUGCCGUGCACUCAUUGUCGAGUCAACCGGCUCUUGGAGUUUCUUAACUAGAUCUCCGACAGUUAGCUCAGCUUCCAUCGGCUCCAUGCCCAGUAGUAACCUAGCCCUCACGCACUGCUGACCGCUUGGCCGUCCUACCUGCCUCUGAAGACUAAGACCUCCUUUUCUUAAAUCCAUAUAAGAACAAAUCUCAAUCUCACCCAAGAUUGACUUCACACCGCCUGAAAGCCUCAUACUACUGUCGCUCGGAUCGAUUCUUUCCAGCAGAGAAAGAGUGAAGGAGAUAAAGUUCUUCCCAGUUUUUCCUAGCUUCAAUAUUCCUCCAAGGCCAAUGGCAUGAACUACUUGCUUCUGCUCUUCCCCCCAUUUUUCCAAAGCCAAAGCAACUUUGUCAAGCGUGAAAUUGCUCCUAACUAUGCAACCAUCGACAGUAACAACAUCAUUAUGCUCUCCAAUCAGAUCAUUUUUUAUCUUGCGGCUAAUCCACGAAGCCUGACUGCUUGAACCCGACCUAUACUGCCCCCCUUCAGGUCCAACGUACCCAUGGCCUCCUCUAAGCAAGUUUUGCAUUGUAUCCCUAACAUAUUUUGAAAGGAAACCAACCAACAGAAAUCAAUCGAAGAAUAGAAGACAGGGGCCAAGGUUUAAUCAAGAUUUUUAAAUAAAAUUACCUUCAAAGACGAUACGAAGCAACCGGAUGAGUAGCACUCGCUCCCGGCGCUCCGGUUCUUCCUGAAGAGAUAAGCUCCUCCUAGUCUCACCGGCUAUCGUCUUCAAGUCUACACCAGCUGCCUUUAUCCAUCGGAGUGGUAAUGUAGUAUAGAUGCAAUCAAUUUCGUGUGCAAAGUUUUCUCCCUGCCAAAACGUCGCCUCGCAAUUGCGGGACAGAGCAGCACUUAAUCCUUUCAUGGUGUAGCCAUGCAGAGGCUACAGCACGCCAGUUGUACAUCCUACAUUGCUAGAAUAAACACUGUUACACACUAUCUGAUAGUUCUUUUAUUCCAUUCUAUUGUUUUGCAUGCAAACGCUGGCCUCUACUGCAGCCAAGUACGCGUACAUCACACGCAUACUGUCACGUCUGGCACACAUUAUUCGCCGUGCACCCACACCCAUCACGUAUGUGCCAUGCGCAUCUCAAGCGGGUCGCGUCGCACCUGAGGGGUCGUUGCACCCCUGUAUACAUGACCCGUCGUACGAUACCCAGCUGUCAACCUGCACCACGCGUGCCGUCGAACUCCAUAAGGCUGCACCACAUGACCAAGCACAACCAUGGUCAAACCAAAAGAGGAUUUUCUUUCCCAAUGCAUCCGGACGGUCAAGAGACUUCCCAUGGUUGUUCAUGGAAUGCAACUUAACGAUGACAAAUAUACUUUUCAAAAAUAGAAUAAUAUUGUUUAACGAUUACAAAUACUUAACGUAUUACAUAUAGUUUCCUUCGUACAUUGUUUAUUUAUUACAUAAUCUACCGAUAAAUAUGUCUCAAAACCCGAUGAUACAGUCUGGUGCUUUGACCAUGCUUGCUUCCAUCCUGCAAACUAGCUGCAGAAGGUUCCUCUUUAUUAGGUACAAAUCCAUCUGCAAAAUCACAAAUUAAAAAAUGGAAACUAAUAUUUGUAAGAGGCCAACAAAUAACAAAUGGAAAUUAAUAUUUUUAAGAGUGAAGCGAUAUUAUAAAAUCAUAACGAAUUUUCCAUACAUUAAAAUUUUCUUAACAUACCUCAUUAAUCUUCUCACAAACAACAUAGCCAUCGAAACUCGUCAUAUAGUGCACCACAUAGUAACCGCUCUGUAAUUUGCAUUACAUUAAAUUUAAAAAAAUCACAUAUGCAACCAAAAAUUAUAUACAAUAUAUAUGUUGAAAUGUACUCACAUAGUUGCCAUCGCAUUCAAAUUUGGAUGGAAGAUGUACUCCCACCCAUUCGUGUCGAUUUCAAUCCCUUCAAAAUAAGUCUUGAAGCACAUCGCCAAUCCGUUAAUAAGUACCGAACAUCUAGCUAAAUGAUGUUCUUCAACAGAUAUAGGCCCUAAGCAAGACCUUACUGGAUCUAAAACAUGAAGCUUCUUGCCGAAACGGUCAAAUAUAUACAAUACCCAACUCUUGUCAUUCUCCUGGUACGGAGCAAUCAACUGUUCAAAACGUGAUCUUAUUUGAAUUAGUCAAAUUACAUUUUCUAAACUGCAUACCAAUAAAUUUUUUAAAUCGUAACUCACCAUUUUGCAUGACUCCACGUCGUAGCCAAUGUGCUCACCGACAAACAAGUCGUUUAUUGCCUUCCUCAACCACGAGCUGGUCGUGUGCAGAAUCGACCCCUAUUAACCAAAAUUAUAAAUUACUUUGAUUCAAUAUUCUUAAUUUCAAUAUAACAGUAAAUAUUAGUUUAAUUUAUAUCCCACCGCAAACAUUGGAUGAAGAUAGUGUCUCCAACGGCUCUUAUCAACUGGUGAACACCAUUUCGACUCAUUCUCCCUGCUCAUCCGGCAGAAUAGAUCAAAUCCAACAUAAUUCAUCCUACCACCAGGAUUCAAUAAUUCAAAUAUUGCAUUGCCAUCUAGCUUCAUCUCGGUAGGAUUUUCUAGCUAGACCCAUACCCUGUUUAUUACCCUUAAUUAGCCAUUGUAAUUGUACAUUAAUUAUAAAUGGAAAUUUACCAGUACUUAAAAUCAUUGACUAACCUUGACUUUAUUGUAUGAGAACAAUCUAUUAAAUUCUGGUAACCUAACUCCUCACCACCGCUUCCAAAUAUUGGAAAUUUCAGACCCAUGUCGAAAGGAGAUGUACCACAUUUCAGAUUUAUUGUUUUUUCUUCACUAGUUCAAUAUCAAAUUCAUCACUGUCUUCAUCUAAAUCUGAAGAAACAACACGUGGCCUUUUCCCUAAAAGAAACACAUCUGUCCUCUUUAAGCAAUAUCUAUUUGUAUACAACUAUGAAUUAAUUAUGGAUUGUUUUAAGUACAUCAUUACAUUCCAUGAAUCAAAUAUAAUAACAUAUAGCAAAAAAUGUUCUUAUAAAUGUUCUUAUAUUGCGAGACGCAAAAAUGAACCACAACAACGGCACAUGCAAUCCGACCACAUGUAGAUAUUUGACAAUUCCAACUACAUUGUUUGGCCUACAUUUAUGUUAUGUUUUUUUUAUUAUGUUUAUAACCACUACAUAAUUCUCAAUUAAUUAAUAAUUAAUAUGCAUUCGUCAAAUUGAGAUUUGUUCAUCGAUUCACAAAUAUUUACGUGCUACAAUAGAAUGUGCUAUGACACUAAUGAUAACAUAUUUGUUUAAAUUUAUUUUAUUAUCACGACAUUAAAAAACUUAAAUAAUAAUUUGUUACACCAUUUCCCUAAAACAAAUGCUGAUUUCAAAAAUAUUUUCCUGUAUUAUUUUUAUAGAUCCAAGAUCAAACUUACUAGUAGGGUCCGGUCUGUAAACAAUAUCUUCUUCUGAAUUGCCCUCACUGUUCAAUAAAUCCAUUCUGUUUGUACAUAUUUGAGCUUCCGUAGUUGACUCCAGUAAUAAACAUUUUUUAUUCUCGCAAUUUGGAUUGUUAAGGUCGGGCACGGCAAAACCUGCAUUUGUAUAUUUGUUAUUUGCAAAUGAUAUCUUAGUAAUAUAAUAUAAUUAAUAAACGGUAUUUAUUUCUUUCUGUGCAAAUUACCUGAGCUUGAUCCAUAUCUUAUAAGAUGACCUCUCCUUUUUAUAUUUUUUGGUGACAGUUUAGAUUUCUUAACACUCUGCCCAACAAGAUGCGCUUGUGAUAAGAUACUUGGUGUAUGCCUAACGCCACCAUGUCGAUCAGCUACGAAUUGUAUUCAUUGUUAGGGAUGCAGCAGUAGCAAAAUUAAUGUAAUUGCUUUAAAUAAAUUAAUGAAAGAUAAUAAAAUUAUAAUUAUAAUCGCCCUAUCACAUUGACUCACUCACUACGUCCUAUAUAUUAAAUUUUUUUAACGUUCUUAAGACAUAAAAAAAGUGUUACGUUGUGUUCUGUUUUUGGUUUCACACCUGAUUCUCCAUUGUCAUCGUUUGCAAGUACAUCGUCUUGCGCCGAGUCUAAAUAAUUUCCCAUAGUAAAACGCAAACCUGUUUCCAAGUAACAAUUUUAAUAUCACUUAUUAGAAUAUUAACCAAAAUUAUUUCAUCAUAAUGUUUUUUUCAUGAACACAAUCAAAAUUUUCAUAUUAUAAAAUAAGCACAAUUAACAAUCAAUUACCUGAUAUCAUGGAUGACAUUUGAUCAAAAUUAGACUGCAAUUUUUCAAUGUGAUCAUUGUACCCAUGGGAUUUCAGGUAGGCCACCAGCUCUAAUAUGUCCUUAGCAGCCUUCUGUAUCAUUAAAGCCUCGUGGUCAGCAACUCCCUCUAGAGUGACGGCACCUAACGAUGCACCGGUAUCGUAGAAAUCUCUGGUUCCAUCAUCCAUGCUUUUCCGAUAUUCUUCGAUCCUCUCAGAGAUCCAUGUUUUGGACUAUGAUUUUUUUCGUGCAAAAAUAUAUAAUUAUAACAUAUAAAGCUUUAUUUCAUGUAAAGCAAAUGCGAAAGCGAACGUAACUUGCCUGCAAUGUUGUAUACUCCACGUGGCAUUGAAUCCGAUCAUUUAAGUUGUUGUAAUUCUUAGCCUGCAUUACCGUUUAAUUAACUAUAUAUAAUAUAAAAAUUAUAAUUAUAAUGCAUUUUUUCCAAUAUUUUUCACUUGCCUGCAUGGCACCGUAUAACCUUCUGCCGUUCGUUACGAUUGUAUCCUCCUCAAUUAGUGCCUUUAGGCAUGCACCCUUGUAGUAAGAAAUCCUUGGUCUCGAGAGUUUGUCAAGAAACCAGUGUCCACCGUAUCAAAAUAUAAUAUCUGCAGCGACAAGUUUGCAACCAGAUUGUUAAAUAAGCAUUGAUGUGAGGAUGCAAAGAAAGAUAUACAAGAUGGUAGAUGUACGAUGGAAUCACCUGCAGGAAUAUGAUGCAUCCAUAUCCGUGGAAUCUUUUCUUGCCAGUUCUAACAGAAUGAUGAACCUUCUUCGCACCGUCAAAUAUUUCAACAACUAUGUACUCCCCCCAGUUAAGUUUGUGCAGAACAGAAGGAUCAUUCACCAUUUUGUAUGCAUCUAGAGGGAUCGAUGUCCGGCUCUCCCUGGGGCAGAAAAAAACAGCGGUGCACAGCAUAACAAAGGCAACCUUUGUCAUCAUCUCUUCUGCAGUCAACAUAGGAAUGCUGCACUGUCUACGUAGCACCUCGAUCAACUCAGCCACAGUUACCUCUUUCGUAUUUUCCAAACCAUCCUUCUCUAUACACAACAAACUCCUUGUGUAUUGUACUAGUUGAAGACUAGGGCUCCCAUCCUCUCUGCUAAUCGUGACAGAUCCACCAUAUCUAGUUCCUAGCACCCUUGAUACCUGGAUCUCGUUUAUAGCCACAAUUUCUUUCGUUCCAACUCUAAGACAACGUUCAUUAGUAUCUACUCUUUGAUACAGUCACUGAGUGAAGUCUCGAUUGAAGGUCUGCAUAUCAUGCAUGGUAAGAAUACCACCUAGACCUAUGGAUCUUAUUAGAGCUUUCCUGUUCUCACACCACCCCUCGAUACUAAGAGUGAUAUCCUUUGGUGAGAAACUACUUAGAACUAGACUUCGGCCACGAACACCCAUCAAGGAGACGUCCCCUAGGCCCCAGCCACCGCCCGAUACGUUCGACAUACUGCAAGAUAUUGCCCUUGAUCUGUUUUUGCAAAUUUAAAAUGUCAAAUAUCUAGAGGAACACAUUCAGACGAAAACAUCUCAAACAGCAACUAGAAAAGCAUGAGAGGUUCAUACAAGUUCAUAUUUAGAAGAACUAACCUUGUUGCCGCUUCCUUCGAGAGAUUUGCUCUGGAUCUGAAUUUCUCAACCAUGUGAGAACCAACCUCUGCCGACAAAAGAACAACGCACGGGGAAACACAGAUGCUUUACUAGUAGGUUGUUGCAAUAAGAGGCGUCGGAAACUUCGUGACACAUUCCAUUCCUGGUGGUUUGUUUGCAUACAUAUAUUACUGUUUUCCUCCGACUGUGCCAGUGCAAUGAAAGCUGAAUUGAAUGCUGACCACCUGUCCCCAGUCACAUUGAAUUUAGGCUUUUUAAUUUUUACGUUUUAUAUUUGUCGAAAAACUCUAUCAAAAUAUUAAAAAAUAUUUAGCAUUUUAGUUCAGCCGGCUGUUUUUUGGUACGGCAGAAGACUUUUCGAGCGACAGAACAGGCUACUGCCUACACGCUUGCUGUUUCAAUGCACAACAUUUAUAUCCAUUGCAUUCUCUAUCCAUAUGCGACGACCCCAAGUCUCCCCUUUAAAUUUUUGAGAUGCCCCGUUACCAUCGUACAAGGAGAAUUUAGUUUUGUCCGAACGAUAGGAUCUUUUAAGAAAUCUUUUCAAUUUACAAGAUUCCUUUCCAUAAUUCUCAUUACAAUAUUAUUGCAUGUUAUGAAGGGUUUAAAAAAAUAAUUAACGGUCACUCAAAUCAGUGAAAUAGUAACAUUUAUCAAACUACAUCAUAGAUGUAAUAAUUAAUCUAAACACACCUAAGAAUUGAAAUGCAAGUUUUUAUUCUCAUAAAUAGAUCCAUCAUACCAUGGGCACGUGCUUUUACAUAAAACUAGCUCAAACGACAGUGAGUACGUCCUGCCUAGACAAUUUUUAUCCUUUUGCAUGCCAAGCUGUCAACCUCAUCUCCAUCAUCACUAAAGUAAUCCUUCUCAGCUUGGUAUUUAGAAGAAACCCUCGAACAGCAGUCAUGAUCGUCUUCCACGUACCAAAUUUCAUCAAACAAAGUUGACACAUAUGGAUCGGUCUCGCCGUAUCCUUCUUCGAUCUCGAAACACAAUGGUUCCUAAAAAACGUUUACACUGUUUUUAGUACAACCUCAUUUAAAGAAAAUGAGCAUCAAAAUAAUUAAAUCAUUAAACAAACGGUUUGGAAUUCUGUACCUGUGCUUUCACCGAAGUAUGUUCGAUCGUGUAAUGAAUAAACUUUUUUAUCCCAUCAAAACACACUGAUUCCUAAGAUGUUUGCAUAUAGUUUUUAUUAUAUAAUACAUCCUAGAUAUGUAAUGAAUAUAAAUAACAGAAAGAACCUUCUCACACCUCUCCCGAGACGUCCUCAUCAACAUUUUCUCCGGCAUCAAGCUUAGCUAUCACUGUUGACAUCGGGAAGAUGUCCUCUUUCGGCUGCGCCGGACAAGUUAAUUCGUAAAUGCAAGGAAAAAAUUACAAUGCUACUUGUCGGUACCAACAAAAUCUAACUUCACUAACCUCUUUACGGAUCACUUCAACCGACCUCAUCCUCUUAGCCAUUCUUGCUUUGCAGAGGAAGCUGAUCGACCUACACUUGUAAUACAAUGAUCUAACUGUAUGACGCUUGUGCGUUUUGGUUAUCUGCCUCAAGCACGGGCAAUGGAUGUAUAUAUAGAACGGAGACCAACAGAAGGUGGCAUGUUCUGCCGUAGUUUUUGAAUUUUGAAUCUUCUAGUGGGCGUAUUAAUUGCGGGCAACUGGCCCGCUCCCUUGACGUGGGCCGGGACCCGCCAACCAGUCUAAAGCAGUUUUUUGGUCGUGGUAUAAAGGACUACGGCCCAUAUUAACAGUUAUGACAUUUUCAGCUUGUUAUGCACUCACUCACUAGGAGGUACCUGCAUAUCAAAAAAUUAUUAUUCUAAUGUAUAUGUGUUAUGCAGCAAGAAAAUCUUAUUUUUUUCAUUGUGUUAUUCAUAAAUAUAUAGUCUAAAUUCACAACUAAUUUAUUUUUUCGAACAAGUGAUAAAUACCUGUUUUGUUUUCCUAACAUUAUAUCACUACGUAUUGUACUAGUAAAAAAUGUCUGGCGAAGAAACAAUUCUAGGCGUCUAAAUGCAAAUCAAAUUCAACGGUAUGACUACAAUAUAUAAUGUUUAGUACAAUCCGUCCCGAUCACAUUUUUUAAAUUAUAUUAAAAUUCAUUUAACGGUUAAUUCUUUUAGAGGAUUGCAAUUUAUGUCAUGUUUCAUUUCAUAAAAGUUUCCUGCCUUCUUUGAACAUUUUAAUAAGUACUGUACUUUUUUUGGGAUACUUUGGUGGCGUAGAACAAGUUAGCUCUAAUACUUUUACAAAAUAUUAAAGCUGGCACCUAAAAAACAAAAACGGCAAUGUUUUUAAAUAAGUAAACAUUGGUUCUGUUAAUACUUAUAGCUAAAACAUGGAGGUCCAGGUACAUCAAAUAAAAUUGGUCUACAAAUACACGCUCAUUAUAUGAAAUCCAAGAAACGUGGCUUCAUCAUUAUUCUGCAUGAUAUCAUCCUUCACUCAAUAGAUAACCUGUCGUUGAACAUUUUAUUUUUCCCGCAGCUGUUCCUGCGAUGUCCAGCUACUCCACAAUUGGUGCAUGUUGAUUGCUUCCUUGGUUUAACUGGAGCAUCCCCUCUCAUUGGGCAUGUGGUGCACUUGUGUCCUUCACCCCUACAAAUCUUGCAAAAUCGAGUCCUCUUAAUGUUCUUCUCAUAAGGUGCCUUAUCUCUUGCUGUUGUAGGUCUGCCUCUUAACCUUUUAGGAGGUGGUGCUGAUAGUUCUUGGUGAUUUCUAUCAGGAGAGAACACAUCGUUCAUUGAUUCUGAACUAUCACCUUCGCCUGCGCCACCGCCAUUCAUGCAUGAACUUUCAGACCUUGUACGCUUCGCCAUGUUUUGGUGCCUUGAUUCAGAAAGCUCCUGUGCAUCGGCUGGCAUGUUCAUGCUAAGAUCACCCCUGAUUUGGCUAGUUGCAUUUGACCUGGCUAUGCUGGAUGCUUUGUCCAAUACACUCAUGCCAUCUCCUUUGUCGCAAAGAGGUGACACUUUUAAUAAACCGUCCUUGAUGUACUUUAUAGUAAACUCGUAACUAUGUACAUUAGUGUCGCCAAGCCUUACUAGCUCAAGAGCUGCGUUGUACAGAGCUGAGUGCCGGUACGUAGGUGAUUCAAUAGGACCCAUAUCCUUCUGGUAAUGCUUUAGGUGUUCAGGUAGGAUGUCCCGUGCGUCUACUGUCCAACGCUUCAUGAUAUGGUAUUGUGGGAUCAUCUUAACAUCCAGCACCAUCAUGACCUGCCAAAUUAGGAAACAAAACUUAAUCAACUGAAGCAGAAUCCAGAAGAAGUUCUCAAGCAAUUCUAUUAGAUUCAUAUGAUUUGCAUACCUUUAUUAUGUGGCAGCAAACCAUGCCCAUAUGCUCGAACAGUCCGCACUGGCACUUAUAAAUCUCCCCGUCAUCUGAUAUUCCUAUUUCAAAAACCGUCUUACAAUACUUGCUCCUUUUCUCUGCAUUGACAUGAGUAGCGGUGUACAAUCUCUUUGGAGUUAUCUCAGCUAUAGUGUACGACCCUGCUGCGUACAUAUGUGAUCUGAACAUCUCAAACAUUGUUCUGGUGUAUAUUUUGCUUGCGUGCUUUUCCAACAGAAUGUUUGCNNNNNNNNNNNNNNNNNNNNNNNNNNNNNNNNNNNNNNNNNNNNNNNNNNNNNNNNNNNNNNNNNNNNNNNNNNNNNNNNNNNNNNNNNNNNNNNNNNNNNNNNNNNNNNNNNNNNNNNNNNNNNNNNNNNNNNNNNNNNNNNNNNNNNNNNNNNNNNNNNNNNNNNNNNNNNNNNNNNNNNNNNNNNNNNNNNNNNNNNNNNNNNNNNNNNNNNNNNNNNNNNNNNNNNNNNNNNNNNNNNNNNNNNNNNNNNNNNNNNNNNNNNNNNNNNNNNNNUGAAAUUUUUCAGAAGACGAUUUGGAUUAAUACUAUAACUUUAUUGAAGAUAGAAUUAUUCCUACACCUAAUCUCUACACAUAAAUACAAAAUUUUACCAGUCUGGUGCGUUUUUCUUGAAACCCUUCUUCUUGAUCUCUGUCAAACUGGAGCUUGCUAUAUUGUUUGACAAACAAAUUCAUAGGGCAUCCUGGAGGUACGUAGUUCUUCAACAUGUGAUUGGCACUUUCACUAUGUUGUGUGCUAGUCAUUCUGGCACAGAAUUUCCCAGCAAAAUAAGGUUUUGCCCACAUCUGCCUCUUUUCAUAAGUUUGUAUGAGGAAUGUGUUCUUCUACAGUGAAUGUUUGUCGAUCAACUCUUUUCAUUGUUUUUCAAACUCUUCCACCGUGAGCAUAUCCUGUAUUAGCUUGUGAAACUCAUCCCUGAAUUCACUGCGUUUGUUGUACAGAGUACCUAGAGAUUCUUUUGCUUUCUUUAAAACGUGCCACUUGCACCAACGGUGUGUUGCUUCAGGAUAAACCUCCUCUAUAGCGACCUCCAUAGCUCUUGCUUGAUCUGCAUUUUAUAAAUAACCAGCUUGAACCAUCAGACAAAAUUUUAAACAAACCAUUGAGAUAAUUUGAGCAUUCCAAAUAUAUCUACUUACCAGUUAGAAUUGUAAUUGUUUUUUUCCCUCCCAUAAGCUUUACAAACUCAGAAAAUACCCAGUUGAAGGUCUCAACCUUCUCAUCACGCAUAAGCACACCAGCGUAUAUCACACUCUGGAAAUGGUUGUUCACUCCAACAAAAAGUCCGAACGGCAUGUCAUAAAGAUUUGUCCUAUAGGUAGUGUCAAAUGUAAUAACGUCACCGAAGUAGUGGUACUGCAAUUUGCUCUUCCCAGUUGUCCAUAUGAGUGUCUGAACUCUACUUUCACUGUCUACACGCACCGUGUAAGUGAAUUCAGGGUCGUACUGCUUCAAUUCUGCAAAAUAAUCCAUGGUUUUCUUAACAUCUUCAUCUGCCUGGUCUCUGCUCAAUUUUGCACACAACGUCCGCAGGCACCUCUUUGUGAAAGGGACGUUCUCAAUACGACCGAAAAAUGUGCCGAUUAUGCUAUAAACCUUGCUAAGAUUAACGUUAUUCUGACGCAACCGAGAAACCAGCUCUCUGGUGUAUUUGUCGAUGUGCCUGUGUGAAGGGAAGUGGAGUUUCUGUGCGUACGUGUGCAACAUCUCAUGGUUGUGAGAUACUCUAUAUUCGCAUAUGUACCAGCCGUCGUCUUCAGUUCUAAGCAAUCUAAUCAUGGCUGGGCACUCUGUUCUUGAAGAACUUGAGUUAAUUUUCUUUGGUUUGCCCUGUAGAAUAUCCGGUAUCAAUUAGUUUAAACAAACUUCAAUCUAAAUGAUUUGAACAUAAACAAUAUAUGGAUUUUAUCCUUACCCCGCAGCUGCAGAGUAGCUCUUGCAUACUUUUAGCUCCUUUGACGUUUGUACGACUCUUUCCGUACCUUAUUCCGAACCCGCACUCCCACGAAUAAAGAUUGUAAUAGUCAUAAGCUUCUCCAAGAGAAUCAAAUGUCAAUCCCAUGGAAGGCACCACUACUGCUUCUCCUUUCCUCUCAGCAAAUCCUCUAAAUGCAAGUUCAAGUGCACUUAUCCUAUCUGCGCUUGCAGCUCUUUCAUCUGGCAUUGCACCGUGCCUACGUCUGUAUUUCAGAUGAAGAACAUUGGCAAUGUGAACAUCAAAAAAAUGGAAAUCCUAUGAUAUAAAUGUGUAAUCCUGUAAUGAAAGUAACAGUUUCCAGCUUUGUCUUUUGUUCUGCUUGUAAUAAACCUUCUAGUACAGCACUGAAAAAAACAAAAGCAGCAUAUGUAGAUAGAACUCACCGUCGAACCCAUCCACUGUUUCCCCUUUCGACAUCAAUAAAGCUUGGAGUCCUCGAUUUCUGGCCUGACUCACAAUCUAGAACCGUUGAAACAUGCUGCUCUGUGCUUGCAUUCGAAGAAUCCACCUCAUCGGCUUCAACCACGGUGGAGAGAGCCCGCGUCUCUUUGACGGCCAUCUGUGCUAUACCUGCAGUGCACUUUUUCUGCGGACAGAACUUGGAUCCAGCUGAAAUUUACCGGUAGAAACUUGGUAAACAACAAACUGAGAAGUACCAAAUCCAACGUAGUUCAUCAAACAGAUCGAAAUCAAAUACAGCUUACCUAGAAUCCAUGGCGUCUGCACGGUGUACACCCCGAUCUGCUGAUUUGGUCACCUCUUUCCGCCAAGGUAGAACGGCGGCUACAGAGUUGGCCGGUUGUGCAGAUUCGCUAGAUUUUUAACUAUCAAGAAUUCUCUUCUUCUAAGGAAAUCUUGAUUGGAAUAGAAACAUUACGAGCAGCCUAUCGGGGGCAGUUCUCCAGAUCUGGCAAUGGUGUUGUUCCAAGCUAUGACAAGUCUCGCUAGGUAGGUGGAGGUCGUUCAUUUAAUUACCACCGCAUAAAUGUUCUGUACCAUGGAUGCCGCGUGGAAAUAUCAUAAAUGUCCCAGAACAUGUAUACACUGUUUCGUCAUACGCGGCCGGUGCCGUAUUAACGCAAUGUAAUUGUUUCCACCUUUUUGGCUCGAAUCAUGAGACAGAAGUCGGUCGGCAGAGAUUUCGUAGGUGCGCGUCGCCGAGUGCUCCUAAUCCACCUCCUUGUAAUAACAUCUUAUAUUAUGGGACAUAGGUAUUAGUAAGUUUCAUGAUAUUGUAGCAAGACAAGUUUCUACAUCACCAACCCAUCCACACUUCCAAUCAAAUCCAACAAGAGCAUGAGAACAAUUCACUUUCUUAGAGUGAAUGAAUUGUGCUUCUACCAUAAUUUCUAGUGGUUCACAAUCCAUCCACAUAUUUAUCUAUUCCAAAUAGAUGUAUUUCUAACUAUUACAUGGUUAAAAAUGGGAUUCCUCAUGCACUCAAAUUUAUUUUACGUUACGAAAUAAAAUAUGAUCUCUGAAAAAUCACCCUCUAACUAUGGAAUCAACCCAAAAUUUAUUCCAUAUCUAAGAAAAUGCAUCAAGUCCACAGAGCACUUCUGAAUGAAAAAUGUCUUAUUUUCAUUAUGAAGUUUGAACCACAAGUGCAUUAUGAAAGUAAUAUUUUCAAGCUAAGAAUCAUGCCAUCGCUAAAUUAGGCUGAUAUUACCAACAAACUAAUCCAUGUAGCUUGCUUUACCUCUUAGAAACAUGAGAGGGGAACCAUCACUCUUUUUUGGCCAAGUUUCAGUAUCUUUCUAAAUCAUGCAUCAACGGUAUGGAAAAUCAAAAAUCAGGUUUUUCUUAACCAUGCAUUGACUAAAUGAAACGAAGGGAAGGAAACAAUCAAGCCUGCAAACAUGGAAGCUCAAAUGGAUAUGUCUGAAGCGGCAUAAAAACAAGGAAUGAAAUCAGCCAAUGCUCUGAGGUAGGAAUUAAUCAGGUGAGGUUCUAUGUUGGACAUGGUUACUUCGGCAACACAGCAAAGACAGUAUUAUAAUAUGUCAGUUUGCAUUUUAACUUUUGAGUUACUGAUUCAAAAUGAAGUUAUAAACUGUUGUCAGAUAUAUUAGCAGUCAAAAAAUGUCAGAUAUGGGCUCCGCUCAAAGAGAUGAAACCUCAACAAAAUACAUAAAUGAAUCAGGACAAUUAAAUUAGAUCGAACCUCAUUGUGAGAUAGGAAGUAGCUUCUGUAAAAAAAACUGAAAUUUGAAAGGCGGUGUAUGAUAUAAAAGGUUGCGCUGGAUUUUUAAAAAGAAGAAACAGUGUGGAGCAUGAAACAUUAACCAUCACCAGUACAAUAUGUCAGCAACAAACAUGAAUAUGAACAGAGAUGUCAAGUGCCCAAUAAAUGGUACUCCCUCCUUUCCAAAAUAUAAGGCGCGGUUUGACUUUUUCGGUCUUCGUUGCACAACUUUGACUAUGAUUUUUAUGUAUUAUAUGUCUAUAAAAUUAGUAUACAUACAUAUGAAAUAAUAUUGUUUUGCAAGACAAAUACGACGAUGCCAUUUAUACAUGUUUAAUCCUUAUACUUUGAUAUAUAUUAGUGGUCAAAGUCAUGCAUCAAAGACCAUAAAAAAUCAAUCGCGCCUUAUAUUUUGGGAAGGAGAGAGUAUCUUACUAAUUACUCCAAGGUGCCCAUAAGGCACAUCAUCUCUUACCUUUUCUGGUUCCAAUAGGGAAUAUAAGAAUUUUAUUGAGUAGCUUGUAGCAAAGUAGAAGUACGAACUAAUAACAACAAAAUUAGGGCGGACAAUUGAUGCAAUAUAUAAACCUAAGACAACCCACAUAUAUCACCUCAUACUAAGAUUGGUACAGCAACAAUAUUAAAUUAUUGUCAGGUAAUAUUUGUUUGAGAAGAGACUCAAAAUAUCCUAUGGACCUGAUGCUUGUACAAGUUAAGUUAAAAAAGGCUUAUACAAGUGUGCAGACUCAACUUGUUUGGACUACCUAGAUAACAUAUAUCUAAAUAUCCAAACUUCCAUCAACGGCAUGAAAGCAGUUCAAGCAAACAAAAUACAAAAAACACUAUUUUAUGUCCAUUUAAGUCAUGAUUCCUUAGUUAUGCAUCUCACUACAGUUGCACUAUAUUCAGGGAGAGCCCACUUAAUAUAGCACGAAUGGAUGCAUUUAUUAGUUCGUAACAUACGAACCACAGGCAUGCAUGGUUUACCGCAAAAACAUCUGCACAUGUCUGCAUAAAUUGGGAACCAAACAAAUUAGUGGGAACAAAUCAAAUAGACAUGCUUUAGCAAGAGUUUUAGAUAUGUGAUAUAACUCUAUUAGAUUCAAAUCCAAUAAGAAGAAAACCAUUUGACCAGGAAGUGAUAAAUGAGGAAAUGAAACGAAUCCAAAAUUCUGCCUCUGGAUAUAUCAUCAGUGUUUUGGCAGGUUGCAACCUGCAAGUAUCAAAGACCACACUAAGACAUAUCCCCUUUCUUGCUUCUUUCUUGCAUGGAAAAUACUCUAGCAUGCUGACAUGUUAAUAACUUAAAGUUAUGCGGAUUCGAACCAUUCAAUUAGUUGACUUGAUUAAACAACCAGAAUAAGGGAUCCUAUUUUCUGUUGCAAGAGACUGAUUUAAAUUGCAACAAAAUUGUUGAGACGAUAGAUCGUAUGUGAAGGAGAACUUAUCCGACGUACCCAUUCGGCAGUAACGGCGAACCCGGCUACAUCAGAACCUCAUAUGCCUCUUAUUCCUUGAUGUGCUUCAUCAUCCCCUAUAUCAAAAUCGUGAGAACGUUAAGGCAUUUCCACAAGCACCUGUCAAGCACUGACAAAAAUUAUACAAACUGAUAGUAUUUUUCAUAAUGUUGCAGAAACACCCGCAAUAAAAAAUGUUGCAGAAAUACCAAGCACAUUCCUACAAAAAUAGAGACUGAUCUGACAGAGGCAUCAAUCAUCACUGUCGUUGUAUUCGAGGAGAUGGGGUCGUCAAGAAAGAGUAAUCUGCUUACAACCACAACAGCCCACAUGGAGGCGACCUGGAGCGGAGACAGAGAUGAGCUGCAAUUCCUCCUUUCACUUCCUUGGCUGGGAAGCAGAGGCCGCGGCGACUACUUUUAUCCACUGAGCAGCAUGCCCACCGUGGUUGAUCGGCCUAGGCAAUAAUGCCUACUCCAUCUUGGGGCAGCGCCGUCACAGAUCGGAAAUUUCAGCCGUCGCACACACGGGG